AGGACAAAAUCACCAACAUCUUCAAUGGGAGAAAAAUCCUUUAUCGGCUGAUUCAUUUCCAUGUUUUGUUUCUGCAGGAGACGGGAUAUCCUAGAGGAUUUCAGAAUCUCAACAGAAAUCUCAGCAGCAUCAGCAACAGAGUAAGGGUGCUUGAUAGCAAGACAGCAAAAGAAAUCGUGGAUGUCCGUUCAGCACCAUGAUGCUCCUACCAUCCACUGGAGCAGUUUGAAGAAAGGCUUUCAUUAACAUACUUACACAGCAGUUGGCAUACUUCUGGUGGCAAUAUCAGGAUUCAAGGCAGAGCGCUUAAUGCCAAAGGGUAUUUCAUUGACACUCUCACCACCAUAAUCUUCAAGGACUUCACCCCAGGCACAACAGUACUGAAGGCAAAUGAACGUUUAGAGUGUUCACAUAAAGAACGAUGGUUUUUGUUGUU
ensembl:lincRNA